ensembl:lncRNA
AGGCCUAUCUGAAGUCUGUGAAACCUCUGACAGCAAAGAGGUCUAAGGCUACUCUCCCAUCUCCCGAUGAAUUUGUGAAGUUAUGUGGCAGCAAGCUUGAAAGUGGAGUAUUAAAGGAAUGGAACAUCAACACAUGGAGAAGGCAAACAAGGCUUCAGGGCUGGGCUGCAAACAGGGCUUCAAGUGGGAAAGGGCCUGUGGCAAAGGGCUGAAUUGGGCCAGCUACCAACUUGGCAAGACGACAUCUGGUACGCAAUAGCUGCAGCCAUCCAAGUCUGCUGACCAACUCAAAUCCCUCAGUCUGGAUUAUGACCCCUGACAUACUGUUAAGUCAAGAUAUGCACUUCACUGAAGCGAGAUUGCUUC